GCUAAACCUAUGUUGACGCUUAUACCUAUGAGCGCAGAAGAAGACACCCGACGAUCCAUGGAAACCGAACACACAACCAAGAGUGCCAGACUGUACCCAAAUGUGCGCUCUACAGGACUAACAGAAUCGUGAUGUUGUCGCUUGCUUGUAAUGCUUGUUAGCUGUUAGCCGCAGUUAGCUCAUGGUGCAGAGCGGACAGAGAGGGGAUGUUGAAGCAGGGCGGCAGAAGCUCGGCUCUGGAGCGGGCCGAAGCGGCGCUCUCUUCCCGCAGAGGCAGAGGGACAUCGGCCGCUGCACACUCCUCCACACCACGGGUGAUCUCGUCCCCGGAGUUGUCCGCCGAGCUCCUGUCCUCACACAGCGGGUCGUUCCUCCCACCUCCGACUGCUCAUGCGCCAAAGCCCAAGAACGACCCAGAUCCGGAGGUGGGUCGACCUUUGAGUUCUCUGAACACUGGAACGAACAGGUUCUUAAAGAAACCUGCAGCUACAGCAGCCCAGAAUCAGCCCAAGGAAAGAGCGGUGUCCUCCUCACUGCGAGCCUCUCAGCCUGCUGCUCUCAGUAGACUGGCUCAAGUUGAAGAGCGCUUUGGAAAGGGUGUGCAGAAGAGGAGUCCUUCCAGAGUCGGAAAGCCGGCUGUCCAGGAUGCCCCCGAAGAGCACGCGGUGUUAGCCCAGCCCAGGCGCUUUGUAAAGAGCGGGCCUCGGGGUGCACUCAGAGGGGAUGGACUACUGGGACGGUCCGAUUCAUCAGAGCGCAGUGCACAGGAGGAGGAGAAGCUCCACUCUGCAGCUCUCCUCUCUACAGUGUCGUCUUCACCUGUACAGGCCCAGACACCCCCUGACCUCUCCCCCUCUCCCCCCAGCCGCCUGUCGUCCUCUGCCGGCUCCGCUCGUGUUGUCGUGCGCUCUCUGGAGGAGCUAUUUUCUUUGGAUGAAGCCUCAGAGGACACUUCCAGAGAUUUUCAAAUCCAUCUAGGGGACAUAAAUGAGCUGGAGCUGGCUUCUCUACAGCUGGAGGAAGACGCAGGUGAAAAGGAAGUGCAGGUGGAUAUUCUGGAAGAGGAGCCGGAGGAGGAGAAAGAGGACUACCCGAGUGAUUUUGAGAGUGUUAUUCAGACGGAGAGCCUCUUGGAGCCCUCCCAGGACAGUGCCCAGGUGCCUCUCUCAGUGCACACCCAGGACAGUGCCAGGCUGCCCUCUCCUCCCAGCUCAGUGCACACCCAGGACAGUGCCCGGCUGCCCUCUCCUCCCAGCUCAGUGCACACCCAGGACAGUGCCCGGCUGCUCUCUGCUCCUCGUACAGAGGACAGUACCUGGACGCCCUCUCCUCCCCGCUCGGAGCGCAGUUACUCCAAAACCUCCACCAGUGCCACAUCUGAGGCCCGCUCUCCUGAAGGCCCUCUCAGCGACACCCCUCCACCUCGCGCCCGAAUCCCCUCCACAAAGAGCAAACGUGGACGGACCUCUCAUCAGCCUGCUCACUGCGUCUACAGUCCCUCCCUGCAGCUCCUGAUGGAGAGCCUCAGGCAGCAGCUGGCCCUGACCUCUCAGUUCAUCAGCAGCUCUCGUGAGCACCACGCCCGUGUCCUCCAGAACCUGGGGCCCCCCAACUACACAUACACCACCCUGCAGGACACUCAGGAGAACAUCUGGAAGCUAAGAGCGUCCGGGCCACGUUCAAAGCAGCUGACAGGGAAAAGAUGA
rnacentral:lncRNA from 1 species